AAACUUAAAGGAAUUGACGGAAGGGCACCACCAGGAGUGGAGCCUGCGGCUUAAUUUGACUCAACACGGGAAAACUUACCCGGCCCGGACACUGGGAGGAUUGACAGAUUGAGAGCUCUUUCUUGAUUCGGUGGAUGGUGGUGCAUGGCCGUUCUUAGUUGGUGGAGCGAUUUGUCUGGUUAAUUCCGAUAACGAACGAGACUCUAGCCUAUUAAAUAGGUGCGGGGUUCCCAGCACCUUACAACCUUCUUAGAGGGACAAGCGGCUCCUAGCCGCACGAAACAGAGCAAUAACAGGUCUGUGAUGCCCUUAGAUGUCCGGGGCCGCACGCGCGCUACACUGAAGGAAGCAGCGUGUCUUUAUCCCUGUCUGAAAAGACUGGGUAACCCGUGGAACUUCCUUCGUGAUUGGGAUAGGGGCUUGCAAUUGUUCCCCUUGAACGAGGAAUUCCCAGUAAGCGCGAGUCAUAAGCUCGCGUUGAUUACGUCCCUGCCCUUUGUACACACCGCCCGUCGCUACUACCGAUUGAAUGAUUUAGUGAGGUCUUCGGAUCGAUGUCCGGCGCGGCCGUCCGGUUGCGCCGGUCUGUUGAAAAGAUGACCAAACUUGAUCAUUUA
rnacentral:rRNA from 1 species